GAUGAACGCUGGCGGCGUGCCUAAUACAUGCAAGUCGAGCGAACAGACGAGGAGCUUGCUCCUCUGACGUUAGCGGCGGACGGGUGAGUAACACGUGGAUAACCUACCUAUAAGACUGGGAUAACUUCGGGAAACCGGAGCUAAUACCGGAUAAUAUAUUGAACCGCAUGGUUCAAUAGUGAAAGACGGUUUUGCUGUCACUUAUAGAUGGAUCCGCGCUGCAUUAGCUAGUUGGUAAGGUAACGGCUUACCAAGGCAACGAUGCGUAGGCGACCUGAGAGGGUGAUCAGCCACACUGGAACUGAGACACGGUCCAGACUCCUACGGUAGGCAGCAGUCGGGAAUCUUCCGCAAUGGGCGAAAGCCUGACGGAGCAACGCCGCGUGAGUGAUGAAGGUCUUCGGAUCGUAAAACUCUGUUAUUAGGGAAGAACAAAUGUGUAAGUAACUAUGCACGUCUUGACGGUACCUAGUCAGAAAGCCACGGCUAACUACGUG
rnacentral:rRNA from 1 species